UACGUAGGGUGCAGGCGUUAAUCGGAAUUACUGGGCGUAAAGCGUGCGCAGGCGGCUCCUUAAGUCAGAUGUGAAAGCCCCGGGCUUAACCUGGGAACUGCGUUUGAAACUGGGGGGCUAGAGUGUGGAAGAGGGGGGUGGAAUUCCAGGUGUAGCAGUGAAAUGCGUAGAGAUCUGGAGGAACACCGAUGGCGAAGGCAGCCCCCUGGGCCAUACCUGACGCUAAAGCGCGACAGCAUGGGGAGCAAACGGG
rnacentral:rRNA from 1 species